CCUACGGGGUGCAGCAGUGGGGAAUAUUGCGCAAUGGGCGAAAGCCUGACGCAGCGACGCCGCGUGAGGGAUGAAGGUCUUCGGAUCGUAAACCUCUGUCAGCAGGGAAGAACGGUCACUGUGCUAAUCAGCAGUGAAUUGACGGUACCUGCAAAGGAAGCACCGGCUAACUCCGUGCCAGCAGCCGCGGUAAUACGGAGGGGGCGAGCGUUAAUCGGAAUUACUGGGCGUAAAGCGCUCGUAGGCGGUAUGUCAAGUCAAGGGUGAAAUCCCCGCGCUCAACGUGGGAACUGCCUUUGAAACUGGGAAACUGGAGUGUGUGAGGGGAUAGUGGAAUUCCAGGGGUAGGAGUGAAAUGCGUAGAUAUCUGGAGGAACAUCAGUGGCGAAGGCGACUAUCUGGCACAUAACUGACGCUGAGGAGCGAAAGCGUGGGUAGCAAACAGGAUUAGAUACCCUAGUAGUC
rnacentral:rRNA from 1 species